UACGUAGGGGGCUAGCGUUGUCCGGAAUCAUUGGGCGUAAAGCGCGUGUAGGCGGUCCGGUAAGUCCGCUGUGAAAGUCGGGGGCUCAACCCUCGGAUGCCGGUGGAUACUGUCGGGCUUGAGUACGGAAGAGGCGAGUGGAAUUCCUGGUGUAGCGGUGAAAUGCGCAGAUAUCGGGAGGAACACCAGUAGCGAAGGCGGCACUCUGGGCCGGUACUGACGCUGAGGAGCGAAAGCGUGGGGAGCAAACAGG
rnacentral:rRNA from 1 species